AACGAACGCUGGCGGCAUGCCUAACACAUGCAAGUCGAACGAGACCUUCGGGUCUAGUGGCGCACGGGUGCGUAACGCGUGGGAAUCUGCCCUUAGGUACGGAAUAACUCAGGGAAACUUGAGCUAAUACCGUAUAAUGACUUCGGUCCAAAGAUUUAUCGCCUAAGGAUGAGCCCGCGUCGGAUUAGCUAGUUGGUGAGGUAAAAGCUCACCAAGGCGACGAUCCGUAGCUGGCUGAGAGGAUGAUCAGCCACACUGGGACUGAGACACGGCCCAGACUCCUACGGGAGGCAGCAGUGGGGAAUAUUGGACAAUGGGCGAAAGCGUGACGCAGCAACGCCGCGUGGGGGAAGAAGGCCUUCGGUUGUAACCC
rnacentral:rRNA from 1 species